AUGGCAGGUGUGCUGAAGAAGACCACUGGCCUCAUGGGAUUGGCUGUAUGCAAGAGUCCACACAAGACAAGCAACUAAAAUCAGUCUGCUAAAAUGUAAGAGGCUAAGAAUAUUGUACACAAAGAUCCUUGAUGUUCUUAAGCAAACCCCUUAAAAAGCAGCACAUAGAAAGUAUACAGAACAGAUUGCAGAUGAGAAAUUGGCUAUGGUUAAAGCAGAACCAGAUGUUAAAAAAUUAGAAGACCAACUUCAAGGUGUUCAAAUAAAAGAGGUGAUUCUUCAGGCUGAAAAUGAACUAAGUCUGGCAAGAAAAAUGAUACAGUGGAAAUGAUAGGAGAUGUUCAUGGAAGAGCCUCCUGCCAAUCAAUGGAAAUGGCCAAUGUAA
rnacentral:lncRNA from 1 species